rnacentral:rRNA from 1 species
GACGAACGCUGGCGGCGUGCUUAACACAUGCAAGUCGAACGGAAAGGCCCUGCUUUUGUGGGGUGCUCGAGUGGCGAACGGGUGAGUAACACGUGAGUAACCUGCCCUUGACCUUGGGAUAACUUCAGGAAACUGGGGCUAAUACCGGAUAGGAGCUCCUGCUGCAUGGUGGGGGUUGGAAAGUUUCGGCGGUUGGGGAUGGACUCGCGGCUUAUCAGCCUGUUGGUGGGGUAGUGGCUUACCAAGGCUUUGACGGGUAGCCGGCCUGAGAGGGUGACCGGCCACAUUGGGACUGAGAUACGGCCCAGACUCCUACGGGAGGCAGCAGUGGGGAAUAUUGCACAAUGGGCGGAAGCCUGAUGCAGCAACGCCGCGUGCGGGAUGACGGCCUUCGGGUUGUAAACCGCUUUCGCCUGUGACGAAGCGUGAGUGACGGUAAUGGGUAAAGAAGCACCGGCUAACUACGUG